CCCGUACAUUGGUGUCCUCUUGGGUGACCUUCCCGGCAGCCCUUGCUGGCUCUGCCCCAACCAAACAAAGACGGCAGGAGGUUUUCAAACAGCCGGUUCCCUGAAAGUUGGCUGCAGGAGAGCCGGGCUGUGCUGGCACCUGCCUGGUCCCGGCCACUGGAGAACGUGGCAGCGAGUUGGUGCCGUCGUCUGAGAGGACCCCAGUAGCCGUCGGGAGUCCCUGUGAUGACAGCUCCACAGGCAAAGCCCUGACUCCAGGGACUGCUCUGGGGGGCCCGCCCCCCCUGCCCCAGAUACUGCCAGGCCAAGUGCAGCUGGUCACACCCCCGACCCAGAACUCAGCCUCGGUGGUGAAAAAGAAGACUCUGGACAGGGCUAUCCUCCUGCAGAAAAGGGUCAAAGAUGUCAGCACUCAGACUGCCUUGCCAAACCCUGUGGGUCCAGGACAUCGCAACCUUGCUUGGGGUGGACCUGUGCCCCCCACUGCUCCCAGCUUCCCCAGCAUCACUGAGAAGCUGGAUGCUGUACAGAGGGAGGUGCAGAAGCUGAGCCAGGCCCUGCAUACAGUGCUGGAGCGGCAGUGCAACCUGGAACGUCAGCAGGAGCACCAACAGCGGCUGCAACAGGAGGUGCUGAUGACACUGCAGCAGCUCAGCUCCACUGUGAGCCAUGGCUCUGUGCCAGCCACCCAGCCCUGUGGCCCCUUCAGCAGUGUGGCCGAGCCCUUGCCCACCAUGCCGAACUUCAGCCAGUUCAAGAUGGAGCUGAUCUGAGCUCCUGCAAUGCCUGCAUGUGCCAGUGGUGUUGUGCUAAUGGCAGGAUGGAGCUGGGAGGAAGAACCAUCGGUCCCUGGUGCCUUGUGUUCCCAGUCCCGCUGACUGAAAGGGGCUACCUGGCACAAGAGGCUGAAUAGUGGAAGGCUGAGGCCUUGCUUCUCCUGUGCUUCAUCCUGGCUGCCACUGGAGCUGGCUGGGACCCAUAGACCUCAACAGAAGGCAGUUGCCUGCAAGAAGAUGCAGCUAAGACAGACACAGCAGGGAUGUGGAACUCCAAGGAUAAAGGAGGCUUCCUUCUCAUGAGGGUCAAUGAUGAUCUUGCCCUCCCCUCCACACAACCUUUUUCGGUAAAAAUCUCUCUGCGCCACAGUUCAGAACCAGUGUGGGAUCAGUAUCUACAUUUUCCCUACCCCUUACCUGGACAGUGAGCAGGCUUGGUCUGUCUGGGUUACUAUCACCAUAUGUGGAACUGCACAGGGUGCAGAAACCCAUGAGGUGAGACCAGUGCUCCACGCAUGAUGAUGUUGGAGCCUGGUAUAAGCUGCUGCACCAUUAGGGACAGAUCAGACUGUAGGAAACAAUCUUUUACUGAGCAGAUUCCACCCUCCUCACCCCACAAACUCAGCAGAUCUGUAGUGUGGUACUACUGUUGCCCACUGUCUGGUGAGAAAUGGGCAGGACCAUAACAGUAAGAGUUGCACCUGGGCAGGAGCGGACUAACUGGAUGUUCAACUCUCCUCUGACCCAUUUUCCUGGGCAGGACACCCUCCUGGUUGUGAUCUCCAGUUGCAAGAGCUGUCCCUAGAGCAAGCUGCUGGUGGUGCACAGCUGCUCUAGCAGAACAGUGCAUGAUGCUGAGAACCCCCUUGCCUAGACAAGAAGGGCACAGGGGAGGUUGAUGGGCCCUAACUGAGCAAUGGAGUCCAGAAGGACCAGAGACUGGCCUUACCUGCCAGGAGGAAAGGUCUGAUGGGGGUGGCCUUGGCUUAGCACCCAGCAAUGAAUCCUGAGAGGAGGCAGAGCAUGUGUCUUUCCUCCACAUCAGCCAAGCAGGCUUCUGUCUGAGUAGGCACCACACUUGGCACAACCUGUGCUUCUGAGAAGUCCCCAGCCUGUUUCUGAGGUCUCCUUGAGUCCAAGGUCAUAAUAAAGAAGAGUAAAAACCAAUUCA
ensembl:lncRNA uncharacterized LOC111935833